rnacentral:lncRNA from 1 species
GACCAUCCAAGUCCAGGACAAGAAAUUCAAGCAAAUAUUGAUCAUACAAGUCUUGAACGAAAAAUCCAAACAAACGACGAAAAAUCCAAACAAACGUUGACAGUCAGGUUGUGGUUACAGCAGUUGGGAAAAACUUUAGUACAGACUAUCAAGAAGAUUGGCCACCUCCAGCGAAAAAAGCCCUUUUCAAAUCUUCCAAUGAGAGCUCC